AUGGUUGCCGGUGUCACCCUAAGCCAAGAUAGACAAGAUACUAUUUCGUGGAAAUUCACAACCAACAGAGAGUACACGACGUCCUCGGCUUACUUGGCGCAAUUUGCGGGACUCACCUACAGUACCAAUACUUCCAUGAUCUGGAAGAUGUGGGCUCCUCCCAAAUGCAAGUUCUUUGCUUGGCUAGUUCUCCAGAACCGAGUCUGGACGGCCGAUCGCUUGUCUCGACGGGGAUGGCCCAAUUGCAACCUUUGCCCCCUUUGCAAGCAAGUUCAAGAGUCUGCUGCCCACCUACUAUUUCAGUGUAGAUUCACGAAUAGAGUUUGGAACGAGAUUACCAUUUGGCUGGGAAUACACGACUGCUCACCAAUGAUUUGGCGAAAUGAAGUUUCUGUUCGAUCUUGGUGGCAAAAGGCGUGA
rnacentral:rRNA from 1 species